UGCAUUCGGGUUAUAUGGUAC
rnacentral:siRNA from 1 species